rnacentral:rRNA from 1 species
AGAGAGAGACAUGCGCGCAUAUCAAUAAGCGGAGGAAAAGAAACUAACUAGGAUUCCCUCAGUAACGGCGAGUGAAGCGGGAGGAGCUCAAAUUUGAAAUCUUCAAGGUUCCUACCUUGACGAAUUGUAGUUUAAAGAAGUGUUUUCUGUUGGAGUUUUGGUAAAAGUUCUUUGGAAUAGGACAUCAUAGAGGGUGAGAAUCCCGUAUUUGACCAUUAUUUCCAGCUUUGUGAUACACUUUCAAAGAGUCGGAUUGUUUGGGAAUGCAGUCCAAAAUGGGUGGUAAAUUUCAUCUAAAGCUAAAUAUUGGCGAGAGACCGAUAGCGAACAAGUACCGUGAGGGAAAGAUGAAAAGAACUUUGAAAAGAGAGUUAAACAGUACGUGAAAUUGUCAAAAGGGAAGCGUUUGACACCAGUGUUGUUUUCUCGAAAAUCAAUUAAAAAAGGCAGGAUUUUGUGUUGUAUUGACUUUAUCAGCUUUCUGCACUCUUUUCUUGUCUUUUUUAAUGCACUUUUCGUUUAACAAGUCAACAUCAGUUUCUUUUGUUGUAAAAGGGUCAUUGGAAGGUGGCUUUCUUUUCGGAGAAAGUGUUUAUAGCCUUUGGCCUCUGCAAUCGGAGAGAUUGAGGUCUGCAGCGUAGAUCCUUCGGGGUUAGAUACAUUUGUGCUAAGUUAUAGCCUUUCAUAGACAACUUGUUGACUAUGAUCAGUCAUGUAGCUUACUCGCUUAUGCUAUUUUACCUACGCUUAGGAUGUUGAUGUGAUACUGCGAGCA